AAAUAUAGAAGCGGAACAAAUAAUUACGCUGCACAAUUAUAUAUUGUCUAUUUUUUUAUAUAUAUAUUGUCUUUAUUUAACAAAAUAACUCAUUGUAAUUACAAAGUGAAGUUGCUAUUUUUCAUAUCAUAAAUAAAUAAACGUAACAUUAUUUGCAUUACAUAGCAUAGACGUAAUAACAUUAUGAUGUAAAACUCAAAUUAUAUACUUAAAAAGAAACAUUCAAAUAUUUCUCUACAUAAUUGUUAUGCUUACACACAUUCACAAUAAUUAAAUUUGCAUCGCCUUCUACGUGGAGCCAAGCACAUACCUUCCGGACAGUCUAGGUAUGACACACAUGGAAUGAAAGCUGAGAUGUUAAACAAGAACAAAACAAAUGUUAUAAAAAGCAGAUAAAAUAUGGUGUAUAACAUAUAAAAAAUAUUGUGGAAAACAUAUGAAAAUGGUGUGAAAAAUGACUUACAUCCGAUAGGUUCAAGCUUUUCUGUAACAACAAAAGAAAUUUUAUUAAAAAGUGAUUAUGAUAAUUAGUGUGCAUAUGAUAAAAAUAAUAAUUUAAAUGCCGUAAAAAAUCGACUUACUUCUACUAGUUACAAUAAUAAGUAGAGAAAGAAAAAUAAUCAAAAUAUAAGAGAAUUUGAGAAUUUGAGCCAUAUUUUCCCUCCAUACAGAAAAUUGUUUUUAUCACUUUUAGAUUAAAAGCUUCAUGUUUUGUUUGUUUUAAAUAUAUUAAUUUAGCACAUAAGAGUUGCAAGAGACCAUUUUAAAAAUGAAAUU
rnacentral:lncRNA from 1 species